CAAAAUCACGUUAUAUAUAUAUACAGUAUAUAUUGGCGACAUUUAAUUUCCCCACUCACGGAAUACAAUCGACAAACUGGGAACAGAAUAUCAAAUUUCGUCUAGCUUUUGGCGACUUAUGAUACCCCUUUCACCGGCAAACACUGAAUUAUCGGACAACAUGAAAUCAGGGACUAAAUUCACCAGCAUUCAUGAUCCUCGGACCACCCGCCCCCUACGCACAGCCGAUUUAUAAAUGUUGCAUCUUUCAAUCAGUGUCAAUCCCAAGAAGAACCCUGAUCAGCUCCUGGAAAAAUCAGUGUUCUUGCAGUUUUGUCAGUCAAAUCUCAAGGAAAGGAUCCCAGAAGAGGAACAUUUACAUUAUUUCAGACUUUUUUCUUUCCUGUGUAGCAAUGCCUCAAACAGCUAACACAUUUUAUAUAGUAUACAAUACAAUGUGUAUUAAUAACAGUCCAGUUAGAGUGCUGUGUUAUGCAGUAAAAAUACUUAAUUCUUGAUGACAUGUUGGUUUUAUGUUUACAUUAAACGGUAGUUAUAAUAUAUACUAAAGAAACAUAGUGGAUAAUGCCUUGUACAGGAGCAGGAGUAUGACAGUGUAAUAGUACAUGACUGCUGCGUUCAUCCAUGGAAGGAAUCUGUUAUUCGAAAUAAAGCUUUCCAUGAGGACGAAAAA